AUACUCUGGUUUCCCCUCAGAUCAGAUAAAUCUUUCACCUUUUACUAAAGAUUUCCGUGGAGAGGAACAGUUACAACUGUUUUCAGAG
rnacentral:snRNA from 1 species